UGGGGAAUAUUGCGCAAUGGGGGAAACCCUGACGCAGCAACGCCGCGUGAAGGAUGAAGGUUUUCGGAUUGUAAACUUCUUUGAUGAGGGACGAACACAAUGACGGUACCUCAAAAACAAGCCACGGCUAACUACGUGCCAGCAGCCGCGGUAAUACGUAGGUGGCAAGCGUUGUCCGGAUUUACUGGGUGUAAAGGGCGUGUAGGCGGGUCUGCAAGUCAGAUGUGAAAUGCCGGGGCUUAACCCCGGAGCUGCAUUUGAAACUGCAGGUCUUGAGUGAUGGAGAGGCAGGCGGAAUUCCUAGUAUAGCGGUGAAAUGCGUAGAUAUUAGGAGGAACACCAGUGGCGAAGGCGGCCUGCUGGACAUUAACUGACACUGAUGCGCGAAAGCGUGGGGAGCAAACAGG
rnacentral:rRNA from 1 species